rnacentral:piRNA from 1 species
CAGAGAAACUUCUAUUGCUGUGGGUGCUGA